UGGUGGCCAGGGCAGUUAGUCUGGGACACGAGGGAGGCAGGAGCCAUCUAGGGCAGAGGGAUUGUCUGCACUAGGACAGCUCUGUUAAAAAGGAGGACUUUUUUGUUUAUGGGAAGAUUUCCAUAAAGAUGAUCUUCUGAGUGAAGGCUGGGCUUUAAGACGAAAUGAGAGACAGUGUUGGUGGAAGAAGAGAACUUAAGGCCAGAAGUUGAAUUAAGAAAAAGAAGAGAAGUACAGGAGAUAUCAUUAAAUUAUAUAGUUCUCUCUUCGACUGUAGCCUUAUAACAGGGACAUUAAUAGAAUUAACAGGUGGAAUCUAAUUGUCUCCCUUGGAAUCUGGGAUGGCUGUCCUACUUAUUUGACCAACAGAAUUUGUCAGAAGGGACUUUCUGUAACUUCUGAAGCUGUCUCAUAAGAAGCCUUGCAGAUUCUGCUCAUGUCUCUUUCCUCUCUGGGAAACAAGUCGCGACUCAGGGAUAAGCCUGAGACACAUGGAGAGAACAUCCUGAUCAAUCUGGUCUUUGCUGCUACCCUGGUCAACAGCCUGAGCUGGAUACCUGGCUGACAAGUACCACCUUUUUCCUACACAGAUGACAACCCAGCCCAUGAGCACCAGGAAAAUUAAACAAAAAGCCGAAAGAAAAAAGAAAAGAAGAAGUCUGGGAGUGAAGUUAUAUGCUUAAAGGCAUGCAUCUAGCAAAUGGCAAAAAAAAUGGAUGAAGACACAAGACUGAUUGUCACUAAAAACCAUGUGGUAUGUUUGAGCAAGCCCUUCUCUAGGGAAGACCCAUAAAAUUUGACUCAUGAAGAGAGAGAAAAAAAUUCAGGAGGCGAAAUUAAUACGGGGAGAAAAUGAAAGAGAUUUAGUGCAGCUAUCAACCGACCAUUGUGCUGUCUUUAAGAGUCUGUUGAAACAACAUAAUAAGAGGGUCAUAGCUCAGCUAUCCAGGUGGCUUUGGUUUUGUGGCUCCACUUUCUCAACAUGAAACUCCAAUAGAGGAAGAAGGAAACAUGUGACCUGGAGAGUUGAAGUGGGUAUUGGAGACUGCUGCAUCAGCAGGGAAAUGCUUUAUAUCCUCAAAUGACAUGUGCUUCUCCUGACAGCUCAUUGACCAGAAUUAGCAACAUGGCCCUUCCUAACUAGAAGGGACCAGAAUGGAUAGUCCUUCUAUGUGUCCAGAAGGAGAGAAGGACCAGAUAUGUGUGAUCAUGUCUCCAUUAUGGGAGAAAAGAGAAUUGAAAAAGAAAGAAGAUCCACAUAGUGUCUGAGGAGCUGAGACAAAAGAAAAGAGUUGUUAUGGGGCUCUGAUUAGAAUAUAGAGCAAAUCACAGAGCCUCCUGCUAACAGGUGUGCAGACAAGCGCUAAGAUGAAAUGGGCCAAAUACGAGAGUCAGGAAACUUGUGUGCUGGUUUUACCUGUGACAUAAACCAGCAGUAUGAAUUUGGUCCAAACACGAAAGUGAAGCAGCAAGCAGCCCAUGACAAAUAUGUGCACUGCCAGCUAAUGAAUAUUGGAGAACAUGACACGUUGGAGAGCCCAGUGGGUCUUGAAAGUCUGAGUUCCAGCAAAUUCUCAUGUCUGCAUCGACUGCAGCAAGGUCAAAAGUUGGAAAGCAGGGAUAUUCGUUUUGCAGCCACAUCAGUUUCUGAUUAGACUUACAAUUUAAGUGGGGAAGUGACUUUGGAAGAGACAUGCGUGCUGUCAGCAGAUGGGAGAGAGGAUGGAGAAAGAUGGAGGGAGGCUGCUGUAACACCUGUUCUGGUUGGGAUUCUGAAUGAAUAUGAAAGAUGCCACUGCUACUCCUUCACUUGCUCAUUCUGCAAAAGUUUGUAGAUCUUCUGCAAGGAGAACGGCAUUGUUAACUACCUACAGGAAGUGGUGUUGAUUUCCAAGAAAGAUCUUGUUCUUCAAACUCUGUUACAGCGUCUUCUCUGGAGAAGUCAACAGUGAGAUGGGCUAAAUGAAGAAGGAGCAGCUUAUUGUCUUUGUUGGUUUUCUUUAUUUUCCUUCGAAGCAUCUGGGGGAAGAGGAAGACAAUGGAUGAGAUGGCGUAUGUUCUUUCCGCCCUGUGAAUGAAUCAGAUUUGAACUCCUAAGCAAAAUAGAAAAUGCAGAAAUGGUGCUCAGGCAAAACCUGAGAGACACCGGGCUCAAGCGACUCUCCUCUGAAGUCCAUCUGAUAAAGUCUGAAUUAUGGAUAAGUCCUUUCCCCCUCAAUAGUCUACUGCUUACUAAAGUGUAGCUCAAUGACUCUGUGGGCUUGGGUAAUCAGCAGGUAAGCAUAGCUAUGCCCAAUGAAGCAGGGGCUGUGAGAAGAAGCCUUGAAGAGUACCUAAAGUAGAAAAUAAGUGAACUUUCUCCUAAGCCCAUAGGAAACAUCACUAUCCUGCUGAAGGCAGGGCAGAGGGAACACAGCAGAGUAGGCUCAGAAUAACUGGGAUUUGGGCACUGAUAUUAAUGUCACCAUAUCUACACUUAUUGAUUGUUGAGAUUAUACAUUUGGCUUGAAACCACAGGAACUAAUAUACUCUAAAUAUAAGCUGAGAAAAAUUAAAAAUAACCACAACUACAACAGUAGAAAGAGAAAAUAUAUGAAUGCCAAGAAUCUAAUGUGUAAAUUAACUACAAGGGUUUAGAAGUUUUGGGCAUCUCCCUGGGGAUUAGCUGUGCUCAGUCUCCCCUCCAGGAAAUCAUUUACAACUCUAUGUCUGUUACCCCAAAAUGACUUAAAUGAAGUUUAGGAUAAGACAGAGACAAGUUCAGAACAAGACAUGGGUGAGGUUCAGAAGAAUGAAAUUGAAAUUAUAUGAAUUUCCAAUUGUUAGAGAUGCAUGAGUGAGAUACAGGUUUUCAAGUGUUGUGAUGUCAUACCAUAAAAUGAUUAUAAACAUUUAGGAAACAAUCUCUCCUGUGGAAUCAGGAAUCAUUACUAAAUAUCACAAUUAUAGUGGAGACGCUGAAGAAGUCAAUAUAUGUGUUCUGAAAAACUUGAUUAAAUAAACUUCAAGGACACAGA
rnacentral:lncRNA from 1 species